AGUGAACGCUGGCGGUAGGCCUAACACAUGCAAGUCGAACGGCAGCACAGUAAGAGCUUGCUCUUACGGGUGGCGAGUGGCGGACGGGUGAGGAAUACAUCGAAAUCUACUUUUUCGUGGGGGAUAACGUAGGGAAACUUACGCUAAUACCGCAUACGACCUACGGGUGAAAGCAGGGGAUCUUCGGGCCUUGCGCGAUUGAAUGAGCCGAUGUCGGAUUAGCUAGUUGGCGGGGUAAAGGCCCACCAAGGCGACGAUCCGUAGCUGGUCUGAGAGGAUGAUCAGCCACACUGGAACUGAGACACGGUCCAGACUCCUACGGGAGGCAGCAGUGGGGAAUAUUGGACAAUGGGCGCAAGCCUGAUCCAGCCAUACCGCGUGGGUGAAGAAGGCCUUCGGGUUGUAAAGCCCUUUUGUUGGGAAAGAAAAGCAGCAGGUUAAUACCCCGCUGUUCUGACGGUACCCAAAGAAUAAGCACCGGCUAACUUCGUG
rnacentral:rRNA from 1 species